rnacentral:rRNA from 1 species
CCUACGUGGGGCAGCAGUGAGGAAUAUUGGUCAAUGGACGAGAGUCUGAACCAGCCAAGUAGCGUGAAGGAUGACUGCCCUAUGGGUUGUAAACUUCUUUUAUAUGGGAAUAAAAUGUUCCACGUGUGGGAUUUUGUAUGUACCAUAUGAAUAAGGAUCGGCUAAAUCCGUGCCAGCCGCAGCGGUAAUACGGAGGAUCCGAGCGUUAGCCUGAUUUAUUGGGUUUAAAGGGAGCGUAGGUGGAUUGUUAAGUCAGUUGGGAAAGUUUGCGGCUCAACCGUAAAAUUGCAGUUGAAACUGGCAGUCUUGAGUACAGUAGAGGUGGGCGGAAUUCGUGGUGUAGCGGUGAAAUGCUUAGAUAUCACGAAGAACUCCGAUUGCGAAGGCAGCUCACUGGACUGCAACUGACACUGAGGCUCGAAAGUGUGGGUAUCAAACAGGAUUAGAUACCCUUGUAGUC